UAUAUUAGUAUGCCAGUUAAAGUUACAGUGGUAGCCUGUCCGAGGAAGUUAAAAUAGAAAGGACUUGAGGAGGGUAGGGGAGCUUUACUUUCUUUAACUUGCAAUUGAGUGUGUUACUGCAAAAUAAAAAACUGCUAAUGUCUGGAGUAUAUUUGCCCAGUAUAAAUUCGAGUCUACAUAGCCAUCUUAACUAUUUAGGUAACAUUUUACUGAAACUUUACUUUGUUAUAAUGACUGCAUCAUUUAACUUCUACUGUAUUCUUUCAUUCUUACAAGUCCUUAUUGAUCAGUAAACAGACUGAGGUGAGAUUUUUAGUUUAAUAGAUUUUUAAUUCCAUAUAAGAAAUAAUUAGUGUUUUUGAGUACCUGUAACUUUGGGGUACAGUUCUAAAAUAUGAUACUCUUUCCUUAGAAAGAGAUGAAGCCCUGCAGCUUAAACUGAAACAAGCAAGAUAUAAUUGUAAUAAAAUCCCUAUUAAAUAGUUUCAAUUUCCAGAACAGUCUGUAUAAUUUAGUCAUUUAUGCUAUUUUAUAUUGUUGAGUAUUUCCAAAGAGUAAGUUUUAGUCCCUGAUAGAAGUUUUUUCACAGUUGGAGCAAUUUUGAUUCUGAGAUGAGAUGAUGUUAGGUCUGUCUCAGAGUAAUCAAGUUUGUGUUGAUACAGAGGAAAUUACUUGAACAGUAGGUAUAUCUUUGUCAACAGUAAACAUUUUCCUGGCAGUUCUAUACUGCUUUUUCUCAAGUGGAACAUUUAGUUUAAUGCUUUCUCAUUGUCAGAUUAUAGUUGUUAACUGUUGUAUGGUUGAAGUUGUCUGUUAGUGAGUUCAUUAUGGUGAACAGAAGCAAACUCAGUGUAUAAAAUCCCACUUUUCAUUUGAUCCUCACUGUAAUAAAAGAUUUCUCUGGAAGAUAGGUUUUGGCCCAGGAUGUAUCAUACUUGAUAGAAUAAACUUACAUAUUUAAGUGAGUAAUUCUAUGUUAAGACAUUGGGUGUUCUUCUGAAUAGUCAAGAUGGUUCCAUUUUUAUUGUAGUAACACUCUAUUGUUAGCUUCAUAAAUAACUCAUAUCUAUUACGGUGUGAACAAUCAUCCUUAAAUUGA
rnacentral:lncRNA from 1 species